rnacentral:rRNA from 1 species
AGCAGCCGCGGUAAUUCCAGCCCCAAUAGCGUAUAUUAAAGUUGUUGCAGUUAAAAAGCUCGUAGUUGAAUUUCGGGAUCAAUUUGCUGGUCGUGCCUCUGGUACGUACUGGUAUUAUUGGUUUCUCCCUUCUGACGAACCAUGAUGUCAUUAAUUUGAUGUCGUGGAGAAUCAGGACUGUUACUUUGAAAAAAUUAGAGUGUUUAAAGCAGGCAUUAGCUUGAAUACAUUAGCAUGGAAUAAUGAAAUAGGACGUUUGAUCCUAUUUUGUUGGUUUCUAGGAUUGACGUAAUGAUUAAUAGGGAUAGUUGGGGGCAUUAGUAUUCAAUUGUCAGAGGUGAAAUUCUUGGAUUUAUUGAAGACUAACUACUGCGAAAGCAUUUGCCAAGGAUGUUUUCAUUAAUCAAGAACGAAAGUUAGGGGAUCGAAGACGAUCAGAUACCGUCGUAGUCUUAACCAUAAACUAUGCCGACUAGGGAUCGGAUGAUGUUAAUUUUUUAAUGACUCAUUCGGCGCCUUA